GGACCUGCUUGUUAUGCAUGUGACUUAAUUUUAACCAUGUUUAAAGUUUGGUCCUAGCCAAAACGAUUUUUUUAACUCUGAUUUAUACGAUUCUAACCAGUUUAAAGCAUUCUAAAUCAGUUUAAAUCGAUCUAAAUCGGUUUAAAUCCAUUAAAUUAAAUAAUAGAUUUAGUAAAAAUUUAUAAAUUUGUCUAAUUUCUUUUGUUUUCUAUAUUUAAUUAUGAUAAUUUAUCAAAAUAAUUUUAUAAUUAAAUCUAAAAAUUAAGAUUAAGAUAAUUUAUAUAAAAGUAAAUAAAUAAUUUGUUAACGCGUAAACCUCCUAGGCCCGUAUUAUCUGCACAGAGUCUCAUCUGUAAAUAAAGCUCAUCUCAUAUUGUUACGACUUACGAGGAUCAGAGGUAUCCCUCUAGGUCCCUCCGAAGGUUGGAUCAACAGGCGUCAGUUGUAACCCUCUAGACUACGCCGAAGGUUCUCGCCUUGCAUUAAUAGGACGCUUCCAAAGACUAUUCAACUCUCCACCUCCAAGGUCCAAUCCAAACAACACACUCUCUCUCUCCUCUCUCUUACUUUUCCUCCUAAACUCUGGCGAAUGAAAUAACAAGUCGUCGCUAGCUAGAUACGACAGCGACCGAUGGGAGCGGAUUUGAAAUCAGUAACGGCUUCCUGCACCGUCCUCGCCGUUAUCUUACUGCUCUGUGGUGGCGGUGCGGCGGUGGAGGAGGAUGAGAACGAGUUCCACGGCGACUACUCGAAGCUUUCAGGUAUAAUCAUCCCGGGAUUCGCGUCAACGCAGCUGAGAGCGUGGUCGAUCCUCGACUGUCCUUACUCCCCGUUGGACUUCAAUCCUCUCGACCUCGUUUGGCUAGACUCCACUAAGCUUCUCUCUGCUGUCAACUGUUGGUUUAAGUGUAUGGUGUUAGAUCCUUAUAAUGAAACGGAUCAUCCCGAGUGUAAGUCACGCCCUGAUAGUGGUCUUUCAGCCAUCACAGAAUUGGAUCCAGGCUACAUAACAGGUCCUCUUUCUACAGUCUGGAAGGAGUGGCUUAAGUGGUGCGUUGAGUUUGGCAUAGAGGCUAAUGCAAUUGUCGCUGUUCCUUACGAUUGGAGAUUGUCGCCAACCAAAUUGGAAGAGCGUGACCUGUACUUUCAUAAGCUCAAGUUGACAUUUGAAACUGCUUUAAAACUACGGGGUGGUCCUUCUAUAGUUUUUGCCCAUUCUAUGGGUAAUAAUGUCUUCAGAUACUUUCUGGAAUGGCUGAGGCUAGAAAUUGCACCAAAACAUUACUUGGAGUGGCUUGAUCAGCAUAUCCAUGCUUAUUUCGCUGUUGGAGCUCCUCUUCUUGGUUCAGUUGAGGCAAUCAAAUCUACUCUCUCUGGUGUAACGUUUGGCCUUCCUGUUUCUGAGGGAACUGCUCGAUUGUUGUCCAAUUCUUUUGCUUCUUCGUUGUGGCUUAUGCCAUUUUCAAAGAAUUGCAAGGGUGAUAACACGUUCUGGACGCAUUUUUCUGGUGGUGCUGCAAAGAAAAAUAAGCAUGUAUACCACUGUACUGACGAGGAAUAUCAAUCGAAAUAUUCUGGCUGGCCCACGAAUAUCAUCAACAUUGAAAUUCCUUCCCCUGACGGCCUUGAUGGGUAUCCAUCAGUUACAGAAGCAGUUAAAGCCAACAUGACCAACAUGGAAUGUGGUCUCCCCACUCUAUUGUCUUUCACAGCCCGUGAAUUAGCAGAUGGGACUCUGUUCAAAGCAAUUAAAGACUAUGAUCCAGAUAGCGCGAGGAUGUUACACCAGUUAAAGAAGUUGUAUCAUGAUGACCCUGUUAUGAACCCGCUGACUCCUUGGGAGAGACCACCUAUAAAAAAUGUAUUUUGCAUAUAUGGUGCUCAUUUAAAGACAGAGGUUGGCUAUUACUUUGCCCCAAGUGGCAAACCUUAUCCUGAUAAUUGGAUCAUUACGGAUAUCAUUUACGAAACUGAAGGUUCCCUCGUGUCAAGGUCUGGAACUGUGGUUGAUGGGAACGCUGGGCCUAUAACUGGAGAUGAGACGGUACCCUAUCAUUCACUCUCUUGGUGCAAGAAUUGGCUCGGACCUAAAGUCAACAUAACAAUGGCUCCCCAGCCAGAACACGAUGGAAGUGAUGUACAAAUCGAAUUGAAUGUUGAACAUGAGCAUGGGUCAGACAUCAUAGCGAACAUGACAAAAGCACCAAGGGUGAAAUACAUAACUUUCUACGAAGACUCUGAGAGCAUUCCAGGAAAGAGAACGGCAGUGUGGGAGCUUGAUAAAGCGAAUCACAGGAACAUCGUUAGAUCUCCAGUUCUUAUGAGAGAGUUAUGGCUUCAGAUGUGGCAUGACAUUCAACCUGGUGCAAAGUCCAAAUUUGUCACCAAAGCCAAGCGCGGGCCACUUAGGGAUGCGGAUUGCUACUGGGAUUACGGCAAAGCCUGUUGUGCUUGGCAAGAAUACUGUGAAUACAGAUACAGUUUUGGGGAUGUUCACCUAGGACAAAGUUGUAGAUUGAGGAACACAUCUGCUAAUAUGCUGCUUCAGUACAUAUAGAUCUCCUUGUUCAGGUUGGCAUUAUUCUCUCAGUCAGUUGGAUGAAAGGUGGCAAACUUAAUGCCUAACUAUCCAAAACCCAAACAGAUUGCAUACUCUCACGUCUAUCAAAUCUCUGUUUAAGCUCUUUGUUAGCUAUGCAAUAAUUAAGGAUUGUAGUUUAUAUGAAAUUUGAGAUACCUAUAUGUAUUUGCCUCCAUUUUCAUCAUUAUGUCACCAGUUUUUUAAUUAACAUAUAAUCAAAUUUCUUCAAAUAGAUGUUAAAUACUGAACUUUAUAACUAUAAAUUUGAUUGUGACAAAAAUAUGAGAAGUUAUUUCAUAUAUAAAUUUAGAUUUUACUUUUAGACUCUUAUAUAUUUAGCUUUGCACUAUAUAUAUAUAUGAUUACUACAUCCUACUUGUCAAUUGAUUGAGGUCGGGCCUUGCAGUUAUUAUUGUCUAUUAUAUGUUUUUUGGUCAUAAUAGUAUGAAUUUUUUACAACAACAUAAAUCCUAAAACGAAACUCAAACCAAUUACAAAAUAUAUAAACAAAUCAGAUUUUACAGUCAUUAAGCUGUUGGUUAAGUUUUGUAUUAAGUUGAUCAUUUCUUGAAUUUGAUAGUGUAGUAGGUGAUAAAUGAAUGAAAACGUAAACCAGGAAAAAGUCAUAACUGAAUCAAUAUUAUUUCUCCUGUUAUAUUUAGUGUGUGUGCGCGUCUCUUCAUUUACAUAUAACCACAAACAGAAAGGGUUAAUUUUGACUAACGAAAUUAAUUGUAUUGUAAUGAUCUUGUGCCUACACGCAACAAAGUUGCAAGGCUUGUGGAAUAAAGUAUAGUAAAAGAUAAUGUAUAAACGUGUUCUAAUCAAAAUAUAAUUUUUUUGAAUAGAAUUUAUUCUUCAUCCAACCGCAUUACGAAGUAACAGACUCGUUAAAAAAUGUAUAAUAUGUAUAAAUGAUCGCAUUGUCAUUUAAAUGAUAGUCAUCAGACCUUAUACAUGCCGUACAAUGAUUAGAAUUGCUCAAAUUACUAAUAAAAACUUAAUUUGGGAAAAUAAAUAAGUAGUGGUUUGUUGCCUAAGUAUGAAAAAGAAGUUAUUCAUAUCAUAAUCAUAUUAGAAUUUAACUGAAGACAGAUUAGCAUAUAAAUUGAUAUCUAAAAGUCAUCUUUUAUGAUUUUACAAGGAUUGGAUACCGAGUCCUGUAAUUUAGAUAUUUAUCACUUAGUCCUAUAAGCUUUAUGCCAAAAAAAGCGAGUUUUUUAGAUAAAUAUGAUUCCUUAUAAAUUAUAAUUCUACAAUUAUCAAAAAAGGAUAAUUCAGUCAAUUCCUCUUUGAUGGUAACCCAAAAUUGAAGAAACGGUAAAGGAAAAAAGGGUAAUCUAGUCAAUUCAGGUUGAGUGGCACUUUAGUGAUUUCCUAGAACGUCAAGGGGAAUCUAAGCACCCCGCCUCUAUAAAUUGUCAUAUUCUACCCAUUCCCGUGACCUUUCUGAUAUCCAAUCUAAUCCUUUCUCCCAAUCUAUUUUCCUUUCUCCUUCUCUCUCUAGACGCUCCGAUUAUAUCCUCGGAAACAAAAAACUAAAAAUCCAUAAUUUUUUUCCUUUUUUCACCCGAAUAUUUUGAUUUUACUGUUUUACGGCAGUUAAACUUUUUUUCUUGCGUUGGGUGCUGACGUGGCAUGCAUUCAAUAGAGAAGCACCAUGAACACCAAAACGAUGCGUUUACCCCCACGUCGCGUUCUAACGACCGAAAAGCGCAAAGAAAGAGACGGCGUUAUCUCCUCCGUCGCGAAGCCGCCGGAAUCCACCGUGACGAAGUUUCCUCCACCGCCGAAUCUUGCUCCUCCGACGGUUAAUUCCAUUUCCAAGAAAGCUCUAAUCGCAGCCGAGCCGGUCGGCUCGAACCAGCUAAUGUUAGCCGGUUACUUGAGUCACGAGUUUCUCACCAACGGCACACUCUUCGGGGAGCAAUGGAAUCCGGCUCGAGCCCAAGCCGGUCCACCCGAGCCAAAGAAGGUAAAGCCGAACCAUGCAGUUGAGCCGGUUGAGGAAAGUGAGCCGAAACGGAAGCGGUACAUGGAAGUCGCUAAUCUCCUCAGGUCAGAUGGGGCCCACAUGCCCGGCAUCGUCAAUCCUGCCCAGCUUGCCCGAUUCCUCAAACUGUGAUCGGCGUAAUCCGGCGUACACGUGGAGGCAGAUCAUUGGUCCGUCCCCCAGCAAGCAAGACAGCCCUAAAACCAGAAUCCGCCGCUCCUCUCUCUCUCUCUCUAUCCUUUUUUGUUUUGUUUUCAAAUCUUCUCGUAUGUAAAGCGCUGACUCUCUCUCUCCCUUUCAUCGUCUUCUUCCUCGAAAUCGAUCGAGAAAGUCUAGAGUUUGUUGCGAGUAAGCAGUACUCUGAAUCGUGACCAUAGGAUUAACACCAAGAGCCGUAGGCAAAACACUCGCAUCACACACAUACAAACCCUCCGCCUCCCAGCUCUCUCCGUAUCCAUCAACAGCUCCUUCCUCCUCCGUCGCGCCCAUACGGCAACACCCCAUCUGAUGCGCCGUGAACGAAUGAGUCCACCGCCUACUCAUCGACACAACUCCAGCCGGCGCAUCCACCGUCUCCAAAAACUUCUCCAGAUCCUCCUCCUUGACUCCACCGCACUUCAACCUCUGCCCGUCGCUCCUAUACGUCCCCACCUCCUCCGCUCCCGCAGCCACCAAGAUCCGUAACGCUCGUCUCAACCCCGUCGUCAGAUUCUCUUCAUCCGCUUUCGUUAAUUUAGACCCACGGGAUGAGAGCCGCGAAGGUCCCUGGACCUAACGCUGGAGUUUCCAGCGUUAUGUUUGGUGUUGUAGAGUCUAUUUCGAAUACGUAGUGUAACGAAGUCAUGAUCUCUCCCUCGUGAGCUGCUCCGUUGAAGUUCGAGUUUUUCUCAGGGAAGUAUCCCCACGCCAUGAGUAUAGGGUGGAUGUGGAGACCCCGACCGAUGUUAUGAUUCUUCAACCCGCUUGAAGAUAACAGCCCUGGUGUCAUUAGUGAGCCGCAAGCUACAACUGUCACUUUAGCAUUGAUCUCAAUCUUAUUUAUGGCUGUGUUUGAUAUCGAAGUUGUGACUCCCAAGCAUCUUUUUUUUCUUCGUCCA